rnacentral:lncRNA from 1 species
UCAAAGUGGUGGGAUAACAAAAGUUUUUUUUUGCUUUUUAAAAAAAUUCAGUGUUAGCAAGAGAAUGAUAAGUUUGGGAGCCUCAUAUGAUGCUUUAGAAGUGUAAAUUGCCUUUCUGAUAAGCAGCUAAGCAAGCUAUAUCAGGAAUGUAGCUUUUUGGUUGUUUUUUGAGAUGGUCUUGCGUUGUUGCCCAGGCUUUGAGUGCAGUGGCAUGAUCAUGGCUCACUGCAGCCUCAACCUCCCUGACUCAAGCGAUCCUCCCACCUCAGCCUCCCAGGUAGCUGCGACUACAGGCACGCACCACUCCACUCGGCUAAUUUUUUAUUUUUUAUUUUUGUAGAGACAGGGUCUUCCUAUGUUGCCCAGGCCAGUCUCUGAACUCCUGGGCUCAAGUGAUCCUCCUGCCUUGGCUCACACCUAUAAUCCCAGCCUCCCAAGUAGCUGGGACUACAAGGCACCUACUGCUGCACUUAGCUUUAUCUUUUAACUCAUAUUUUAAAUGUCUUCUACAAGGCACAGAAAAAUAAGUAGUUGUGUUCAUUUUUAAGUAAAUAGUAGUAAACAGUUUCAAAUGCUGUUUGAGAUGUUAAUUAAGGCACACACUUAGACUAGUCCAUUUGAUUUGAAAAUUAGGAUUUUAUUUGUGCUUUUUGUUAAUUACUGGCUUUUAAAAGAUCAGUAGUGGGGCAGAAACUAGACUAGUGGGUUGAAGGGUGAACAGGAAAUAAGUAAUAUUCUUUCAAGGAGCUUGACUGAAAAGGAGACAGUGGUAGUUUGAAGAUAUUGCUGUUUUUAAGAUAAAAAUGAUUUCAGCACUUUAAAAAGUUGGAAAUGAUCAAUGAAUCAAGGAUCAUCAAGAAAGAGGCAAGAGGAAGUAAGAUUAAGCACAAAGAGUAUCAACUGAUAGGUGGCAUUUCAAGGAACUUCAGGUGUUGAAUAUCUAAAGCACCAAAUGCGUGUGGACAGCAGUGAAGAUAAAGCUGGAAAUGCGCUGGCAGACCAACGUGAUGAGCUCUGUAGGCGGUGGACAAAGACUAUGAGCAAGCCAUUUAGGCAAACAUCUGAAGAAUUUAAAAAUCAAAGGCAAACAAAUAGGACUGUUUCAUUAAGAUCACUUGCAUUCUAACAGGUUAUGAUGAAUGGAAAGCUGAUGGUUCCUGGUUGGAAAAAAGAUAAUUUUCAAUUUGGACAUGUCACAUUUGAGAUGCAGUUGACACACCCAAGAUACAUAAUAUAUUGUCUUUCAAAAUUCAGAAACCUAAUAAACCAUGAUCUUAAUAA